AUACGGAGGGUGCAAGCGUUGUUCGGAAUUAUUGGGCGUAAAGCGCGUGUAGGCGGCUUGGUAAGUCAGGUGUGAAAGCCCUUAGCUCAACUAAGGAAAGUCAUCUGAAACUGCCAGGCUUGAGUACGGGAGAGGAGAGUGGAAUUCCCGGUGUAGAGGUGAAAUUCGUAGAUAUCGGGAGGAACACCCGUGGCGAAGGCGAUUCUCUGGACCGAUACUGACGCUGAGACGCGAAAGCGUGGGGAGCAAACAGGAUUAGAAACCCCAGUAGUCC
rnacentral:rRNA from 1 species